GACGAACGCUGGCGGCGUGCUUAACACAUGCAAGUCGAACGGUGAAGCGCCUUCCUUUUUGGUGGGUGUGGAUGAGUGGCGAACGGGUGAGUAACACGUGGGUAACCUGCCCCCUUCUGCUGGAUAACCGCAUGAAAGUGUUGCUAAUACGGGAUAUUCUGGGUCUGUCGCAUGAUGGGUCUGGGAAAGAUAUUGUUUCGGUGGGGGAUGGGCUCGCGGCCUAUCAGCAUGUUGGUGGGGUGGUGGCCUACCAAGGCGGUGACGGGUAGCCGGCCUGAGAGGGUGGACGGGCUCAUUGGGGAGGAGGAACGGCCAAGCCGCGAAUGAGAGGCAGCAGAGGGUAAUACUGGAGGAUGCGGGCGAGAAUGAUGCAGCGACGGCGAGUGAGUGAUGGAGCACUUCGGGGUGAGAGCUUAUGUCGUUAGUGAAGUAGGGCUGCCUUGUUUGUGGGUGUGUUGACGGUAGCUGGAGAAGAAGCGCCGGCUAACUACGUG
rnacentral:rRNA from 1 species